CCCCCGAUAUAUUUUCCGUAUGCAAGGUGACCUCAGUGUGACCCAUCUCGUUAAAAUCCGGUGACCACAAUACGCAUGGAUGUCCUUAAAAUAAACUUUUAUCUGAACUUACAUGUUAAACACGUGCUCAAUUUCCAUGCUUUUUUGUUUAUUUUUCGUCAAUUGUUGACAAACAGGUGACAAUCGUUAAACUUCUGCUUCAAAACACGAACUUUAAUUACCUGCCAUAUUUUCACAACAACACUGACCGAUUGAAAAAAAAAUUGACGAUUAUACGAAAUUUACACGAAAAAAAUGAUAAAUUCGAGCACAGAAGACUAAGUUUAUGUUGUUUGUAUGCAUUGGUUUAAGAAUUGGAAGAACAUUAUUUGUCACCGGUCACUCGUUUCUUAUGACUUUAAGUAUGU
rnacentral:lncRNA from 1 species